AGCGAACGCUGGCGGCAGGCCUAACACAUGCAAGUCAAGCGCCCCGCAAGGGGAGCGGCAGACGGGAGAGUGACACGUGGGAACGUACCCUUUGGUUCGGAACGACCCAGGGAAACUUGGGCUAAUACCGGAUAAGCCCUUACGGGGAAAGAUUCAUCGCCGAAGGAUCGGCCCGCGUCUGAUUAGCUAGUUGGUGGGGUAACGGCCCACCAAGGCGACGAUCAGUAGCUGGUCUGAGAGGAUGAUCAGCCUCACUGGGACUGAGACACGGCCCAGACUCCUACGGGAGGCAGCAGUGGGGAAUAUUGGACAAUGGGCGCAAGCCUGAUCCAGCCAUGCCGCGUGGGUGAUGAAGGCCCUAGGGUUGUAAAGCCCUUUCGGCGGGGAAGAUAAUGACGGUACCCGCAGAAGAAGCCCCGGCUAACUUCGUGCCAGCCGCCGCAGUAA
rnacentral:rRNA from 1 species